GGUUUAGGGUAAUCAAAGAAUGGUAGGUGUAAAAUUGACAAAGAACCGAUAGUGGGUUUUGAGGCAUGGCAAAAGCAUUCCCAACGAACAGGGUCUCAUUGUUUCCUCCAUGGAAAACGGUAUGCGUCCUGAAUUCCAAUUGGCUACCGAGGGAAUUCAACAAGCACACAUAGGGGCAUAGCUUAAAAUAAUACUCCAAAAUGGCAUCAUAAAUAAUAGAAACAAUAUCAAAUUCAAAACCUACGAAACCUAUGGCACAUGACUCGACUUUUUCUUUUCCAUCAAAGGGGCGUGAGAAACGCACUGAAAAGAAGAAAAUACCAAUACCCAACACAUGUUUCAGUGCACCAAAAAGAAGAAGUGGAGGCUACUAACCUUCGACGGAUGGCAACCGGCGAGACAAGGCGAUAUGCGAGAUGAAGGCAAGCGGCAACCGGACGGCGUGCUACUCCAAACCACGAACAGAGAAGCCGACGAAGAUGAAGACGACGUGCUGAGUUUUUUAGGUUUUGCAAAACAGGGAAGAGGAAGAAGCGACGGCGCCGCGGAGUUUAGGACGGCGGUGGCACUGAAGAGCUUGGGACGGUGGCGGCAACAAGGGGCUAGGGUUUUCAAGUUUCGAUUUCCAUCAGUCACAGUUUUAUGAAUUGGGGGAAGAAAGAAGAGGGCCGCGGGGGUUUUCAAUUUCCUUCAAUUUGGUUCUCAUGUAUUUCAAUUUUUUUCAAAUAAACAAAAAACGACGUCGUCUAUGCUU